rnacentral:tRNA from 1 species
UCCGUGAUAGUUUAAUGGUCAGAAUGGGCGCUUGUCGCGUGCCAGAUCGGGGUUCAAUUCCCCGUCGCGGAGAUUUUUUUAU